UGUGUAGGCGGUUGUUUAAGUUUGGUGUGAAAUCUCCCGGCUCAACUGGGAGGGCGCGCCGAAUACUGAAUGACUAGAGUGCGGGAGAGGAAAGUGGAAUUCCUGGUGUAGCGGUGAAAUGCGUAGAUAUCAGGAGGAACACCGGUGGUGUAGACGGCUUUCUGGACCGUAACUGACGCUGAGACACGAAAGCGUGGGUAGCAAACAGGAUUAGAUACCCUGGUAGUCCACGCCCUAAACGAUGCAUAUUUGGUGUGGGCAGUUCAUUCUGUCCGUGCCGGAGCUAACGCGUUAAAUAUGCCGCCUGGGGAGUACAGUCGCAAGGCUGAA
rnacentral:rRNA from 1 species